GACGAACGCUGGCGGCGUGCUUAACACAUGCAAGUCGAACGGAAAGGCCCUGCUUGCCGGGUACUCGAGUGGCGAACGGGUGAGUAACACGUGGGUGAUCUGCCCUGCACUUCGGGAUAAGCCUGGGAAACUGGGUCUAAUACCGGAUAGGAGCCAUUUUUAGUGUGAUGGUUGGAAAGUUUUUUCGGUGUAGGAUGAGCUCGCGGCCUAUCAGCUUGUUGGUGGGGUAAUGGCCUACCAAGGCGGCGACGGGUAGCCGGCCUGAGAGGGUGGACGGCCACAUUGGGACUGAGAUACGGCCCAGACUCCUACGGGAGGCAGCAGUGGGGAAUAUUGCACAAUGGGCGCAAGCCUGAUGCAGCGACGCCGCGUGGGGGAUGACGGCCUUCGGGUUGGAAACUCCUUUCGCUAGGGACGAAGCUUUUUGUGACGGUACCUAGAUAAGAAGCACCGGCUAACUACGUG
rnacentral:rRNA from 1 species